AGUGAACGCUGGCGGCAGGCCUAACACAUGCAAGUCGAACGAGUGGCGGACGGGUGAGGAAUACAUCGGAAUCUACGCUGUCGUGGGAGAUAACGAAGGGAAACUUAUGCUACUACCGCAUACGUUCGAAUGAGCCGUUGUCGGAUUAGCUAGUUGGCGGGGUAAAGGACCACCAAGGCGACGAUCCGUAGCUGGUCUGAGAGGAUGAUCAGCCACACUGGAACUGAGACACGGUCCAGACUCCUACGGGAGGCAGCAGUGGGGAAUAUUGGACAAUGGGCGCAAGCCUGAUCCAGCCAUACCGCGUGGGUGAAGAAGGCCUUCGGGUUGUAAAGCCCUUUUGUUGGGAAAGCGGUACCCAAAGAAUAAGCACCGGCUAACUUCGUGCCAGCAGCCGCGGUAAUUC
rnacentral:rRNA from 1 species